rnacentral:rRNA from 1 species
UACGUAGGGAGCAAGCGUUGUCCGGAAUUAUUGGGCGUAAAGAGCUCGUAGGCGGCUUGUCGCGUCGGAUGUGAAAGCCCGGGGCUUAACUCCGGGUCUGCAUUCGAUACGGGCAGGCUAGAGUUCGGUAGGGGAGAUCGGAAUUCCUGGUGUGAGCGGUGGAAAUGACGCAGAUAUCAGGAGGAACACCGGUGGCGAAGGCGGAUCUCUGGGCCGAUACUGACGCUGAGGAGCGAAAGCGUGGGGAGCGAACAGG